UACCAUUUGAAAGCUUAGGAAGUCAAGAAUCCAACGCUUCAAACCGUGUAUGAUUUGGAGCUGAAAUGAGGAAGAUAUGGCCUUUGGAAGGCAACUGCAUCAUGUCAAAUGCCCAAUUUCGCAAUGUGAAUUUCACAUUGCGAAAAUUUCGCAAGGAGAUUUUCUUCAUGGUGCGAAAUUUUGCCAUUUCGCAAUGUGAAUUUCACAUUGCGAAAAUUUCGCAAGGGGAUUUUCAUGGUGCGAAAUUUUGCCAUUUCGCAAUGUGAAUUUCACAUUGCGAAAAUUUCGCAAGGAGGAUUUAGUCACAUUGCGAAAUUCCUUUGAAUCCCCUGUUUUGAGACGUUGUUGAUGUUAUUCCACUACCGGUUCUCCAAGAUAUUUUGCUUGAUUUUUAGCUUUGUAAAUACCUAUUUUACCCUUGUAAUCAACCAAUGAAUAGGUUGCUUUUGUAAUAGCUCUUGUAAUUUAGCUUGUUAUUGUCUUUAAAUAGAGGUGAAGAGCCUCAGAUGAUCGAAUCUUGUAACCUGUAACUUUAUAAGUUAUAAGAGCACUUUUGUUCAUACGCUUCUUUUCUCUUUUCUUUCUCAUUUUCUUAGUAGCCAAACAUCCUUGGAGGAUGAAAUCCCCAAGGAUGAGAGGCUAAAACCUUUUAGUUUCUUGAAGUAAUGGAUGCCAUGUGAAGCUCCCGUGUCAGGAUGGAGAUUUCCAAGCCAUGAAUGUAAGUAGCUGAGCGUCAUAAAUGUUUUCAUUCAAAGUAAAGCUUUUAAUCCCUCUGACUUGCUUUGAAUGGCCAAUACUUGAUAAUCUUUUGGUCUCAGUGGAUUCUUAUUGUUAGAUCCACUGAUGUUCAUUAGUUAUCCCCUACGAGCCAUUGUAUUGCAAGUCGAGGAGAUGACCUAUAUCAUUAAAAGAGCAUUUAUGAGGUUCAACUACCCUUUUUGUAAGUUUUCAAGGACUAAAACUCAGUUGUUAAACUCAUACCGGUUCGGGAAGUAAGCAUCACCUUAGUUGCUUCCCCAACUCGAGGUGAAAAGUCCCAAAAUCUCCAUUUUUACAUAGUGAGUUAAGCAUGGCUAUCCAAAGCUUUGAGAAACUUCUUUUUCCAUAUUUUAACCUAUUUUCAUGUUAGUUUAGUUUACACACCUUCAUCUUUAUAUGUUUUCAUCUUAACUUAAUUUUUAUUAAGAAAAGUUCACUCCAUCCUCCGAACUUCACCAGUUAAAGUAAAAACCCUUCCCAGUGUUCGAUCCUAGAGCCACUAUGCUAUAGUAGCUUUGCUACUUUAGUGUAAGGACGUUAGGUAUAAAUUUUGUUGAUACCCUUACAUGCCAAGCUACCAAGAGUCGGGUUAUCAAAUGGCGCCGUUGCCUGGGAAGGUGCUACUUCACUGUGAAUACAUCAGCCGGAGGUAACUUGUGAGACUUCUCAUGAGUGAGGUGAAUUCUAUCUCAUUUUCCUUUUACUAACUUUUUAUUUUAUUUUAUUUUUCUUUGUUCAUGUGUUAGUAUAUCUUUUAUUUAGUUUUUAGUUAAUCUUAAUAAUUUUUUUUUUUCUUUAGAAUUUUAUUUUCUUUUAUUUUCUUUUGUUUUCUCUGUUUUUAAUUCACAAAUUGCUAGUUGUGCAUGCCAUAUUGAAUAUGAGAUAGCAGAGGAAGCCAUGAACUUCAGUUAUGUGGCUGAAUUUUCAAGAGAAUGGGGUGAACCAAAUGCUAGAGAUAUGGGAAGAAUGACGUCUCAACCUAAAGCUAAGGGUGAGAUGUAUAUUUUGAAUGAUGGCAUGGACAUGAAGGCAAAGAUUGCAGCUAUGGAAAGGAGAUUGGAAGAGCUAGAAAAGAACCAGAUGCAAGAAGUGCAAGCCAUCUCUCAGACACCAUUGCAAGCUAUGCUUUGUGCCAUUUGUCAGUCUUUUGAGCACUUAGUGGAGGAGUGUCCUACCAUUCCAGUGGUGAGGAAAAUGUUUGGUGAUUGCAACACCUACAAUUCCAAUUGGAGGAAACAUCCAAAGUUCUCUUGGAAACCACAGCCACCUCAGUACCAGCAACCUGCUCAAGCACCACAGCAAGCCUUAAACCUUGAACAAGCUAUGAUGAAUCUUAACAAAGUCAUGGAAGACUUUGUUGAACCUCAGAAAUCCAUCAAUGCUCAGCUCAGUCAAAAAAUAUCACUCCCUGACAGAGUAGAGAGUUCAUUGAAUAAAAAGAUGGAUGGAGUGCAACAUGAUCUAUCUCAAAAGAUAGAUAAUAUCCAAGAUUCAAUCUCAAGGUUUUCCAACCUCAACACAAUGCAAGAGAAAGAAAACUCUCCUUCUCAACCUCAUCAAAAUCAAAAGGGUAUCCAUGAAAUGGAGGCUAAGGAGGGAGAUAAAGAGGUUGAUCUGCCCACAUGCAAACUAGAGCAUGAGGUAGAGAGUGAAACAGAGAAAGAAAAGAGGGAGGAAAUCAAAGGAAAGAAAAAGGGGAAAAGCAUAGAGAAAGAUGACUAUAUAGACGAAGAACCUCAGAAGAUAGUCAUCAAAGAAGAAAUAAUGAAGAAACAGAUGCAUCCAUUUUUCCCCCAAGCUUUGUAUGGCAAGAUCAUACAAAGCAAGUCUCAAGUGAGGGAUGCCAAUUUUGUUUGGGAUCCAGGGGGAAUUCAGCAUGAAGUGGGUGUGUGAGUGAGGAUGAGCUAAAUAGUUCAUCUUCUUUUUGGGGUACAUGCUAUCAGCUUCAUUUAAAUUCUAUGCUUUCUUUAAAUUUAUGCAUGUUUUAGUUUGAAUUUUUAGCUUUAAUUUAGUUUUAAUAUGUUUUUAAGAUGAGUUUUGAAGUGUUCAUGCAGGUACAAUGCAUGCAAAAAUCGAAAUGGAGGUGAAACAGAGGAAACAGGGGAGCCAAAAUGCAUAAGCAAAGCUCUCAGUGGAAUUUCGCACCAUAAACACACUCAGUGCGAAUUUUUCGCACAGUGACAGUGCAUGGUGCGAAAAGGAAUUUCUAUACAUUUUGGAAAGCCAAGCCUCUCGGGAUGCUAUCUUCGCACCUCAAUUACCAGUGCGAAAACUUUAGCACCUUGUUUAUCUUGGUGCGAAAUGAUUUUCAAACUAAUUUCUAAAAACAAAGCUCUCGGGAAGGCCUUUUUCUUGAAUUCCAUGUUUUUCCAAGUUUAAAAAUUCAUGAAUGCAUUUCCAAACCUUUUGUUUUCAAAUCCCAUCCAUCCAAAACUUUUUAAAAAUCAAAUUUCAAAACCAUUCCAUGCAUGGCCAUCCACUUUGAUUUUCAUUUUCCAUCAUUUAAUUUUGUUUUCCAUCAUUUAAAAACUACCCAAACACCUUAGGAAUCUUGUUUAGAGCCUAACCAUACCUUUUAAAAAACCAUUUUUGAAUUUUUUCCCAAAACUUGGAAAACGCACAGUCGGGCUUCAAAGGAGGUGAACAGUGACUGUGCCAAUUUUGGCACUCACUGUUCACUCCUCCUUUGUUUUCCCCUGUUUGAGCCAAAAAUCUCCAAUUUUAACACCCUGCAAGCUACAUUCAAAUGUCAUUGCAACUUAUAUGAAUAUACCAUCAUGGCAUGGACCCUUUGAGCCUUGUCCUCAGCUGCUCAAAGUGGGGCCCACUCAUCAUUUUUGUAAAUAUUUAGUAUAAAUUCCUCUCUCAUUCAAUUUUUGAAUUUUGAAACAGGUGGUUCAACCUUCUCAACUCCAAGUCCACAUCACAUGAGGUACCACUUCCUUCCUCCUUAUUUUCGAUUCAAACAUUGAGGACAAUGUUCAUCUCGGUUGGGGGGAGAGAUGAGGAAGUAAGUAUUAGUUUAAAUUUUUAUCAUACUUAGUUAAAUUAGCUACUUUUUGUUUAAAUUUAGAAAUUUUUGCUUUAAACUCCAUGGAUAUUAAGGAUUAACUCUCAAAAUUAAAUGAGAGAAGUCGAGUUGCAACUUGAUUACAUGAGUCUUAGAGUUUGUAUUAUGCUCUUCUAAAAGUUGAUGAAUUGUUGAAACUCCCAUUGCAUGCAAACUUAUCUCUUCCACCUUAAGCUAUUCGCACACACAUACAUUAGAUUCCGGUAAUAAGAUGUGAAACUAUCUCACCCUCUAAGCUUGAGAAAUCAUAAUUUGACACCUUUAAUCUCUCUUUAAUAGUGUUGGGACACCUCAUAAAGACCAAUGAGUCUUUGAAAAAAAAUAGAAAAAAAGAAAAAGAAAAAGAAAAAAUAUAUAUAUAUAUAAUAAACUUCUUUACUUGCCUUGAAACCUGAGCAUGGUCCGAAGGGGUGGCGAAAGCCUUUAAAGCCUGGUGCCCUAAGCCUUUAUUGGUUGGGAGUCAUCGAUCCUCUGCUUGUUACAUGGGUGAAUUGGUUAAGUUUAGUAAGUGAAAAGAAUUGUGAAUAAGAGGUGCGUUCCUAGCCUAUCAAGAGAUGGUUAAUUUUGCUAAGCUUAAAGAAAGACUUAGGUUGGGGGGAGAUGAUAGUUAUCCAUACUAUACUCGGAAGCUAAUCACAUUAACACUUAGCUUGUAGUGGAAGAAUUUGAUUUGGAUCUUUUGAGAGUGGAAAUUCUUUUGAUGCUUAAACUUGCAUAAUAUCCAUUCUUUGUACUCUAUGAUCAAGUGAAUGCUUUGACAACUCUUAUUAUAGGUUGAGUUUCACAUCUUUAUUGAUCCAUGGAUGUCCAUCAUGCCACUCAUGUCAUUUUUUGGAGUGAUUUGCAUGAUCCCUUUUAUGUAUAUUAUUAUAGUUUAUUUAGUUUUUAUCUCCUCCAUUGCUAAGGGACUAGCAAUGAGUCGGUUGGGGGGUGUGAUUACUACCAAAAAGUGCUAUUUUGUAGACCUAAUUAUAAUGGUUUUAAGCACCUUUGAGUAGUAAUCAUAUUCAUUUAACCCAAUUAAUUCAUUAAGGUCCUUAGUAAUUGGUUUUAACCUUUUUGUGGCAAAGUUGACAUGUUUUUAUCAGCUUAUGAAUCGAUUCAAGCAUGCCAAUUGAUGGAGGAGCUACUUGGACGAGUUAAGCAAGGAUUUUGUACGUUUAUAGGCUUGAAUUUCAAGUGGAAACACGAGCACAAGCAAUGGAGAAGAGGAAAACAGAGUGAAGAAAACAGAGUGAAGAAAACAGCUGCAGUCUUCCUUUGAACUUUUGGAGCACUUCCCGAAGUCCAUUUUUUGCAUGCUAUAUACCAUUUGAAAGCUUAGGAAGUUAAGAAUCCAACGCUUCAAACCGUGUAUGAUUUGGAGCUGAAAUGAGGAAGAUAUGGCCUUUGGAAGGCAACUGCAUCAUGUCAAAUGACCAAUUUCGCAACGAGAUUUUCUUCAUGGUGCGAAAUUUUGCCAUUUCGCAAGGGGAUUUUUCUUCAUGGUGCGAAAUUUUGCCAUUUCGCAAUGUGAAUUUCACAUUGCGAAAAUUUCGCAAGGAGGAUUUAGGCACAUUGCGAAAUUCCUUUGAAUCCCCUGUUUUGAGACGUUGUUGAUGUUAUUCCACUACCGGUUCUCCAAGAUAUUUUGCUUGAUUUUUAGCUUUGUAAAUACCUAUUUUACCCUUGUAAUCAACCAAUGAAUAGGUUGCUUUUGUAAUAGCUCUUGUAAUUUAGCUUGUUAUUGUCUUUAAAUAGAGGUGAAGAGCCUCAGAUCAUAAAAUCUUGUAACCUGUAACUUUAUAAGUUAUAAGAGCACUUUUGUUCAUACGCUUCUUUUCUCUUUUCUUUCUCAUUUUCUUAGUAGCCAAACAUCCUUGGAGGAUGAAAUCCCCAAGGAUGAGAGGCUAAAACCUUUUAGUUUCUUGAAGUAAUGGAUGCCAUGUGAAGCUCCCGUGUCAGGAUGGAGAUUUCCAAGCCAUGAAUGUAAGUAGCUGAGCGUCAUAAAUGUUUUCAUUCAAAGUAAAGCUUUUAAUCCCUCUGACUUGCUUUGAAUGGCCAAUACUUGAUAAUCUUUUGGUCUCAGUGGAUUCUUAUUGUUAGAUCCACUGAUGUUCAUUAGUUAUCCCCUACGAGCCAUUGUAUUGCAAGUCGAGGAGAUGACCUAUAUCAUUAAAAGAGCAUUUAUGAGGUUCAACUACCCUUUUUGUAAGUUUUCAAGGACUAAAACUCAGUUGUUAAACUCAUACCGGUUCGGGAAGUAAGCAUCACCUUAGUUGCUUCCCCAACUCGAGGUGAAAAGUCCCAAAAUCUCCAUUUUUACAUAGUGAGUUAAGCAUGGCUAUCCAAAGCUUUGAGAAACUUCUUUUUCCAUAUUUUAACCUAUUUUCAUGUUAGUUUAGUUUACACACCUUCAUCUUUAUAUGUUUUCAUCUUAACUUAAUUUUUAUUAAGAAAAGUUCACUCCAUCCUCCGAACUUCACCAGUUAAAGUAAAAACCCUUCCCAGUGUUCGAUCCUAGAGCCACUAUGCUAUAGUAGCUUUGCUACUUUAGUGUAUGGACGUUAGGUAUAAAUUUUGUUGAUACCCUUACAUGCCAAGCUACCAAGAGUCGGGUUAUCAGUCGUCUUCCACUUCAGAGAGAGAGGGAGAGAGCUAGGAUUCUUCCCUUCCAAAGUCCACACUUUGGAGUACAAAGAUCGUGGUUCAAGUCAUAGGGCAAAAGAUCUUCGGUGCACGAGACCUCCAAACUCUUCAAGCUUCAUCUUUAACUAGUGAAAUUGAUUUGGGAUGUCUAAAUUAAAUUUAAAGUUUUCUAAUGACUUUUCUUUGGAUCCUAGAAUGUUAAAAAAAAAAAAAAAAAAAUUCAUUUCCGUUGCAUAAGAUCUAGAGGCAUAAGGUAGUUUGCAUGCACCUAUAUGAUCCAAAGCUUGGGAACAAGGAAACCUACCCAAAAUAAAAGGUACUCGAUAUGAUGAUUUGAAAUUUUUGCAAGGAAUUACAAUUGCAAUGAAUGUAGCAACAACCUCAUAUGAAAUUCUCGGUGAAGUUUCUAAUUCUUCAAAGCUAGUGAAAAGGCAUUACAAAGUCUUGCAAAGCCAUGUUUGUUGAAAGGUAUUUCUACAUCCAAGUUGGAAUUUUGUGAGCACUAUCUAUUAAGAAAAAACACCAGGGUAAAGUUUGGUAUUGCAGUCCAUCGCACCAAGGAAACAUUAGAUUAUGUGUAUACAAAUGUCUAGGGACAUACAAAAACAACUUCUUUAUGAGGUAAGCAUUGGUUUGUGAUUUUUUUUUGUGAUUACUUAAGAUAUGUGUAGGUGCAUUUAAUGUGAUAUAAAAGUUAUGCUCUUAAUGUGUUUCUCAAAAGACAAUGGUAGAAAAUAAAGUUAUUAAAAAAAAUAUUAAGAAGCAUAUAUUAAACAAUUAUGGGGAAUAUAAGUUAAAUCCUUUUACGCAAAUUAGAGAAAAAAAAAUGAUUGUGUGACAUUUGCCAAUCAUGAAUAUUCUACAAGAAAACGGGGUAGUAGAGAAGACAAAUCACAAAUUGUUUGAGAAGUUGAGGUGCAUGUUGUCUAAGAGCAUAUUGAGGAAAAGAGUUUUAGGUUGAGGUUGUAACAUAUACAUGCCAUCUUAUUAAUAGAUUACCUUCUAUAAUACUUGAGAUCAAGACUCCCAUGGAGAUACGAUAUGGUACUCCAGUUUCUGAUUAUGAUUCAUUACAUAUAUUCAGUUGUUCUUCUUACUACCAUGUUUUAGAGAAUAAGUUAAAGCUUAGAUCCAAGAAAAUAAUUUUCUUAGGUUUUAGUAGUGGUGUUAAAGGCUAUUGUUUAUGGUACUCUUUGCAAAGGAAAAUCAUUGUGAGCAUGGAUGUUGUGUUGAGUGACGAUGUUAUGUUAAAAAAGAGUUUCACAGAAGAUGGAGUUUGGAAGUCAAGUUGAAACUACUAAGAUGUCUCCUCUAGAUCAUUUAGGUAUGGAUUUAGAUGUCAUAGUAGAUGAACUAGAGUUUACUUCCCCAAGGUCCAAUGAAUAUUUUAAGUCAAUUGCAGUAAGUAGACCACAUAAAGAGAUAUUGUCACCUGCAUGAGAUGUUGAAUUGGUUGCAUAUGCAUCACCCAUUGUUACUAAAGAUAUUCCAUACACUUAUAGGGAUGCAAUUCAAAGUCCUUAAAGUGAAGAUUGGAAAUUGGAAAUAUAGAAUAGAUGAACUCUCUCCACAAAAUUAAGACAUGGAAAUUAGUUCCAUUUCCUCCAUGAAGAAAGUUGUUGGAUGUAAAUGGGUGAUUACUACUCAAAAAGUGCUUGUAAUUAACUCUUUUAAACACUUUUGAGUAUUAGUUAUUACCUUUUAACUCAAUUAGCAUAUUAAGUACCUUUGCAAUCGUUUCUAAUCAAAUUGUGUAAGUUUUGGUGCUUUUGAUAGUAAUUUGAUCACCAAAGCAAUCCAAGAUUAAGGAGAACUCUAUGGAAUCCUUGGCAAAGAAAUUGGAAGCUCAUUUACAUGAAUAAUUCAAGCUUUGGAGCUUUAUAGUCCUUUGCCAUAAACAAAUCAUGAAUGCAAGGAUGAAAGCAAAGAGAGAAAUCUAACAUGAAGAAUCCAAGAAUACAUCAACUGUUUGACACUUUUGGAGCACUUCCUGGAGUCCAUUUGAUGCAUAAUAUAUGUCUUUUUGAAGCUCGAGAAGUCAGCAAUCCAACACUUCAAACGAUACAUGAAUCGGAGUUGAAAUGAAGAAGUUAGAGCCAUUGGAAGCCGAUCACACCAAGCUGAAGGCCAAUUUCGCAAGCUGCGAAAUCAACCUUUGGCUGCGAAAUGAUUUCGCAGUCAUCUCGUGCGUCUGCGAAAUUUUGCAGCCAUCUUGUGCACCUACGAAAUGCUCCUGAAUGCUUCCAAAUAUUUGCGACCGACAUUUUUAGAUAUUUUUGCUUCAGAUUUUUGAUGUCUAAAUCCUCAUUUUCUCCUUGUAAUCCACCAAUUAUAGGAUUCCUUAGUUAUUAAGUAAGAGAAAAGGGUGAAUAACCUCAUAUAUAUUGUUUUGUAAUUUUCAUUACAGAGAUUUAUCGGGAGCUUGUUCUCAGAGACGAACAUCUUUUUGUAUAGUUUUGAAGGAAGUAAAAUACAAAGCUUUGCUCUGCCUUACCUACUCAAUUUGAUUGUAUUUUUCUUACUAGCCAAACAAGCUCUAAGGAUGUUUCCUCAUAGAAUGGGUGGCUAGGAUUUUUGUCUCUUGGAGCUAAGGUAGCUGGGUAAGGUGCCGAAUGCAAGAAUUGGUAAUUUUGUUAUUUCAGCUAUUAAUGAAGAGAAAGUGUAACCCGUUUAUGGUUUCUAUGUUUUUAGUUAACUUAAAACGCCUUCAAUUCACCUAGGCCAACACUUGGUAAGGCAAGUGAUCUCCGUCCAUUGAGAUGCAUUAGUUUACCUCUUGCGAGCCUUUGGGAGGUGACUUGAAGGUAGGAUUUUCUAGAAUUGCCAACACUUGGUAAGCUUUUGGAUUCUAAGGAGACAUCUAUUAGUUAUCUCUUGCGAGCUUGAGAAGGGAAGUCCAAGGUUAAUGAUCACCUUGAAUGGAAAAUGCUAGGUGAGAGGCAUGAGCCAUUGCAAGAUGCAUCAGUGAGAGGGAAUUAGUGCUGAAAUCCAUGGAAGGGAUAUAUCUGUACAACACCGGUUGGAGAAUGAACUAUAUGUUAAUUCUCUAAUGCGAGGAAGAGAACCAAAGUGAUCGAAACUCUGUUUUUGCAUGAGGAUCCUGACCCCAGUGAUCCUAAAACUCCAAGAAAUGCUUUUCUUUAUAAGUAAUUCCCAUUGCUUUCUUUUUCGUUAGCUUGAAACCAAACCUUUUUCAACCAAAGUUUAUGUUUUCUUUUGAAGCUAACCUCGAAAUGAAAAAGACCAAUUCAACUUUGAAUUGGUAUCAGUUGUAAGUUGAAAACCCUUCCCAGUGAACGAUCCUAGAGCCACUAUGCUAUACUAGCUUAUGUUAUCCUAGUGCAUGGUGAUAUAGGUUAUAAAUUUUGUUGAUUACUCCUGUCUGAGGACCAAACUCAAGGUACACCAAUUGGGCAUGAAUCAAAUGGCGCCGUUGCCGGGGAAGGUGCUAAUUUUACAGUGAUAUUAUUUCAGAGUACUUGUGAUUUUCAUCACAAGUUUGGUGACUUUUCUUUCAUUUUACUAAUUUUUGUUUUUAAUUGUUUCUUUACUUGUUCAUAUUCUAAUAUAUCUUUUAAUUCAGUUUUAGUUCAUUUUAGUCUUUUUGUAGUCUUGUUUUCUUUUGUUUUCUUUUGUUUUUGUUUUAGUUACAGUUGAUACUAGUUGUGUAUGACAAAUUGGAUACGAGAUAGUGGAGAAAGGCUUGUUAAACGUGAUACACCUCAUAACAAGGAAUUGGAAUUGAGCUUGAAUAUCAUGGAAGCUACGCCUGAAGAUCAGCAUAGUCACCAUAGUCACUAGGACAAUCCCAAUGCUUUCAGAUCAAUGAGGGACAACAUGCAUCCACCUCGUAUGAGUGCACCAUCAUGUAUAGUGGCCCCUACAGAGCAACUAGUGAUCAGACCGCAUAUUGUUCCACUUCUACAAACUUUCCAUGGGAUGGAAAGUGAGAAUCCCUAUGCACAUAUCAAGGAAUUUGAAGAUGUUUGUAAUACAUUCCAAGAAGGAGGAGCUUCAAUCGACUUGAUGAGGCUUAAGUUAUUUCCUUUCACUUUAAAGGAUAAGGCCAAGAUUUGGCUUAAUUCUUUAAGGCCAAGGAGUAUCCGUACUUGGACUGAUUUACAAGCUGAAUCCCUCAAGAAGUUUUUUCCUACUCAUAGAACAAAUGGCUUGAAAAGGAAAAUUUCAAACUUCUCAGCUAAAGAGAAUGAGAAAUUCUAUGAGUGUUGGGAAAGAUACAUGGAAGCCAUCAAUGCUUGUCCUCACCAUGGUUUUGAUACGUGGCUAUUGGUGAGUUAUUUCUAUGAUGGGAUGUCUUCCUCAAUGAAGCAACUCCUCGAGACAAUGUGUGGAGGAGAUUUCAUGAGUAAGAAUCCGGAGGAAGCUAUGGAUUUCUUGAGUUAUGUGGCUGAAGUUUCAAGGGGAUGGGAUGAACCAAACAAAGGAGAAGUGGGAAAGAUGAAGUCUCAACUGAGUGCUUUUAAUGCUAAGGUUGGGAUGUACACCUUGAAUGAAGAUGUUGAUAUGAAAGCAAAGUUUGCAGCUAUGACAAGAAGAUUGGAGGAGCUAGAACUGAAAAAAAUGCAUGAAGUGCAAGCUGUUGCUGAAACACCAGUGCAAGUACAGCCAUGUCCUAUUUGUCAAUCUUAUGAACACUUGGUGGAGGAGUGCCCUACAAUUCCAGCUGCUAGGGAAAUGUUUGGAGAUCAAGCAAAUGUCAUUGGACAAUUCAAGCCCAAUAACAAUGCUCCGUAUGGAAAUACUUACAACUCAAGUUGGAGGAAUCAUCCAAAUUUCUCAUGGAAGCAAAGAGCACCUCAGUACCAACAGCCGGCUCAACCAUCUCAACAAGCUUCAAGCCUUGAACAAGCAAUAGUGAAUCUCAGCAAGGUUGUGGGAGAUUUUGUUAGAGACCAAAAAGCCAUCAAUGCUCAACUCAGUCAAAAAAUUGACAGUGUAGAGAAUACUUUGAAUAAAAUGAUGGAUGGGCUGCAAAAUGACUUAUCUCAAAAGAUAGAUAACCUCCAAUACUCAAUCUCAAGGCUCACUAACUUGAACACAGUACAAGAGAAGGGUAGAUUUCAUUCUCAACCUCACCAAAACCCUAAGGGUAUCCAUGAAGUGGAAACUCAUGAAGGAGAAUCUUCACAGGUGAGAGAUGUCAAAGCCUUGAUCACUCUAUGGAGUGGUAAAAAAGUUGAGCUGCCAACACCCAAGCCACAUGUUGAAGAGGAAGAAGAAGAAGAGACAAAGAAGAGGGAGGAAAUCAAAGGAAAGAAGAAAGAUAUCAGUGAAGGAAAGAGGACCAUGAUUCAAUAGUAAAUGCAAAUCCAGAGAAAGUACUUAUUAAGGAAGAAAUGUUGAAGAAACACACCUCUCCACCUUUUCCUCAAGCUUUGCAUGGGAAAAAGGGGAUUAGAAAUGCAUCAGAAAUUCUUGAAGUAUUGAGACAAGUGAAAGUCAAUAUUCCAUUGCUGGAUAUGAUUAAACAAGUCCCAACAUAUGCAAAAUUCCUAAAGGACUUGUGUACUAUCAAAAGAGAGUUAAAUGUGAACAAGAAAGCCUUCAUGACUAAGCAAGUGAGUGCUAUCAUACAAUGCAAGUCUCCUUUGAAGUACAAAGAUCCGGGAUGUCCUACCAUUUCAGUCAUGAUUGGAGGAAAGGUAGUGGAGAAAGCCUUGUUAGACUUGGGAGCAAGUGUGAAUUUGCUACCAUACUCUGUCUACAAGCAAUUGGGACUUGGUGAAUUGAAGCCAACAUCAAUCACUCUAUCUCUAGCAGAUAGAUCAGUGAAAAUUCCAAGGGGGAUAAUUGAAGAUGUCUUAGUUCAAGUUGAUAAUUUCUACUAUCCAAUAGAUUUUGUUGUUCUUGAUACGGACCCCAUUGUCAAGAAAGCUAAUUAUGUUCCUAUCAUCCUUGGAAGGCCAUUCCUUGCUACCUCAAAUGCAGUCAUCAACUGUAGGAAUGGACUUAUGCAACUCACUUUUGGCAACACGACACUUGAGCUCAAUAUCUUUUAUAUGUCUGAAAAGCAAAUCACUCCGGAAGAAGAAGAAGGUCCAGAGGAGGUAUGCAUUAUUGACACUCUAGUGGAGGAACACUGUAAUCAAAAUAUGCAAGACAAGUUGAAUGAAAGUCUUGGGGAUCUUUAAGAAGGGUUACCUGAACCCUCUGAUGUGCUUGCUACUCUACAAGGUUGGAGGAGGAGAGAAGAGAUUCUACCUUUGUUCAAUAAAGAGGAGGCACAAGAAGCUGCUAAAGAAGAGACCCCAAAGCUCAAUUUGAAGCCUCUGCCCAUGGAGUUGAAAUACACAUACCUAGAAGAGAAUAAACAAUGCCCUGUUGUUAUAUCUUCAUCUCUUACUAGUCAUUAGGAAAAGUGUCUACUUGAAGUUCUCAAGAGGUGUAAGAAAGCAAUAGGAUGGAAAAUAUCUGACUUGAAAGGCAUUAGUCCUUUGGUUUGUACACAUCAUAUAUACAUGGAGGAAGAAGCUAAACCAAUUCGUUAACCUCAAAGAAGAUUGAAUCCUCAUUUGCAAGAGGUGGUGCGAGUUGAAGUGUUGAAGCUACUUCAAGCAGGUAUUAUCUACCCCAUAUCUGACAGCCCUUGGGUGAGUCCUACUCAAGUGGUACCAAAGAAGUCAGGGAUCACUGUGGUUCAAAAUGAAAAAGGAGAAGAAAUUACUACACGCCUCACUUCAGGUUGGAGAGUGUGUAUUGAUUAUAGAAAAUUGAAUGUUGUGACAAGGAAAGAUCAUUUUCCAUUGCCAUUUAUUGAUCAAGUCUUGGAGAGAGUCUCUAGCCAUUCUUUCUAUUAUUUCUUGGACGGGUACUCCAGAUAUUUUCAAAUUGAAAUUGAUGUUGAAGAUCAGGAGAAAACCACUUUUACAUGUCCAUUUGGAACAUCUGCCUAUAGAAGAAUGCCUUUUGGUUUAUGCAAUGCACCUGCAACAUUCCAAAGAUGUAUGCUAAGUAUCUUUACUGAUAUAGUGGAGCGAAUUAUGGAGGUACAUUUGAAGAAUGCUUAGUCAACUUAGAAGCGGUUCUUAACAGAUGCAUUGAGGAGGACUUGGUGCUCAACUGGGAGAAAUGCAAUUUUAUGGUACAUCAAGGAAUUGUCCUUGGCCAUAUCAUCUCCGAGAAAGGCAUUGAAGUUGAUAAAGCAAAGAUGGAACUUAUUGUCAAAUUGCUGUCCCCAACAACUGUAAAAGGAGUAAGGCAAUUCCUUGGCCAUGCAGGGUUCUAUAGGAGAUUUAUAAAAGAUUUCUCUAAUCUUUCAAAACCUCUUUGUGAACUUUUGGCUAAGGAUGCUAAGUUUAUAUGGGAUGAAAGAUGCCAAAAGAGUUUUGAUCAACUGAAGCAAUUCUUGACAACAACUCUAAUAGUGCGGGCUCCUAACUAGCAACUACCCUUUGAAGUAAUGUGUGAUGCCAGUGACUUUGCUAUAGAAGCUGUGCUUGGCCAAAGAGAAGAUGGAAAGCCCUAUGUGAUCUACUAUGCAAGCAAGACAUUGAACGAAGCUCAAAGGAACUACACAACUACAGAGAAAGAAUUGUUAGCUGUAGUGUUUGUCUUAGACAAGUUUCGUGCUUAUUUGGUAGGGUCUUUCAUCAUUGUUUUCACAGACCAUUCAGCCUUGAAGUAUUUAUUGACAAAACAAGAUGCAAAAGCAAGGUUGAUUAGAUGGAUUCUCUUAUUACAAGAGUUCGAUCUCCAAAUCAGAGAUAAGAAAGGAGUGGAGAAUGUGGUAGCUGACCACCUUUCAAGGUUAGUUAUAGCACACAAUUCCCAUGUCCUACCUAUUAAUGAUGACUUUCCUGAGGAAUCACUUAUGUUGCUAGCAAAAACUCCUUGGUAUGCUCAUAUUGCUAACUAUCUAGUUACUGGUGAAGUUCCAAGUGAGUGGAAAGCACAAGACAGGAAGCACUUCUUUGCAAAGAUUCAUGCUUAUUAUUGGGAAGAGUCUUUCCUUUUCAAGUAUUGUGCAGAUCAAAUUAUACGGAAGUGUGUCCCUGAAGAAGAGCAACAAGGAAUCCUCAGCCAUUGCCAUGAAAGUGCAUGUGGAGGCCACUUUGCCUCUCAGAAAACAGCCAUGAAGGUGUUGCAAUCAGGGUUUACUUGGCCAUCACUCUUCAAAGAUGCCCACAUCAUGUGUAGGAGCUGUGAUAGAUGCCAAAGGCUCGGGAAGCUAACAAGAAGGAAUCAAAUGCCUAUGAACCCCAUUCUAAUAGUUGAUCUCUUUGAUGUUUGGGCCAUUGACUUCAUGGGACCUUUCCCAAUGUCUUUUGGUAACUCUUAUAUCUUGGUGGGGGUGGACUAUGUUUCUAAAUGGGUUAAGGCAAUCCCCUGUAAACACAAUGAUCACAGGGUGGUUCUCAAGUUUCUUAAGGAGAACAUCUUCUCAAGAUUUGGGGUGCCCAUGGCCAUAAUCAGUGAUGGAGGUACUCAUUUUUGCAACAGACCUUUUGAAACCCUAUUAGCCAAGUAUGGAGUGAAGCAUAAGGUAGCUACACCUUAUCACCCUCAGACUUCCGGGCAAGUUGAGCUAGCAAACAGGGAAAUCAAGAAUAUAUUGAUGAAUGUGGUGAUCACGAGUAGAAGAGAUUGGUCUAUUAAGCUUCAAGACUCACUAUGGGCAUAUAGAAUGAUUCGUGCCCAAUUGGUGUCUCAGCUGAUUUGUGUUCAGCUGGUGCUCCUUGAUUGAGGGAGUAAUCAACAAAAUUUAUAACCUAUAACACCCUAUACUAGGGUAGCAAAGAAAAAGCUACUAUAGUAUAGUGGCUCUAGGAUCGUCCACUGGGAAAGAUUAACAAGCUCUCAAUGAUACCAAUUCCAAGUGAAUUGGUUUUGUUUCAUUUCAUGGUUAGCUUAAGAAGUAAAACACAAGCUUUGAUUGGUAAAGGUUUAGACUUAAACUAACUAACACAACAGAAGUUUGGAAUAAUUUAGGAAGAAAAGCAUUCCCUGGACAGUUAGGUUCACUAGGGUGGUUCCUCAUGCAAAAGACACGGCUCUGGUCAGAUGGUUCAUUUCCUCGCGUUAGAGAUUCAACAUAUAGUCAAUUCUCUAACCGGUGCUGUACAGAGACUCCUUCAAUUAGAUUUCACUUUAAUUCUCUCACUGAUGCAACUUGCAAUGGUUUAAGCCUCUCACUAAGCCUUAACCAUUCAAGGUGAUCUUUAACCUUGGAUUACCCGUCAAAAGCUCGCAAGAGAUAACUAAUGGAUGUCUCCUUGGAGUCCAAAAGCUUAUCAAGUGUUGGCUAUUCUAGAAAAUCCUACCUUGAAGUCACCUCCCAGAGGCUCGCAAGGGGUAAACUAGUGCAUUUCCAUGGUUGGAAAUUACUUGCCUUACCAAGUGUUGGCCCAGGUGACUCUAAGGUGUUUUAAGUUAACUAAAAACAUAGAAAUCACUAAAGGAUUUCAAUUCCUCUUCAUUACUAGCAAAAACCACAGAGCUUUGCAUUCUUGCACUUGGAACCUUCCCCGGCAACCUUAGCUCCAAGGAAUUAGAGGUUUAGUUACUCAUUCUCUGGGGAAAACUCCUCAGAGAAUUCAUAACUUAGUAAGAAAAUAAAAAUACAAAGUGAGAAGGUAAGGCAGUAGAAAGAAAUAGACUUUACUUGUUUACCCAAACUUUUACAGAAGGAACUCCUCUCUGAGAACAGGCUCCCGAGAGGUAUAUAUAUGUACAUAAUUUAAAACUAAUUAUUACAUAGAUAUUUAGUCUUUUUACUAACUUAAAAACUAAGGAAUCAUGUAAUUGGUGGUUUACAAGGAGUAUUUUGGGAUUUCGACAACAAAAAUCUAAUGGAAAAUAUCUCCCAAUGUUGGUAGCAAAUAUCGGGAGGCUUCAGGAACCAUUUCGCAGGAGAAAAAUGGUGUCUGCGAGAUUUCGCAGACACUCAAGAGGGCUGCGAAAUAAUUUCGCAACACCAAGCUAAACUCGCAGGGCUGCGAAGUUGGCUUCCACCUUGAGGUUCCAAGCUUCCUUCUCGCGGUAUAUGUCGGGCAUUGUCAGAAGGAGAAACAUCACACUGUACAAAAAGGCUGCGAAAUCACUUCGCAACAAAAGGGUGAUUUCGCAACACUUUGCAAAAUGCUUCCUUCAACUCAGAGUGAUUGGCUUGUAAUGGCUGCAACUUCUUCGUUUCAACUCCGAAUUGCACAUCGUUUGAAGAAUUGGAUUGUUGACUUCCUGAGCUUUGAAAUGGUAUAUAGCAUGCAUCAUUUGGACUUCAGAAAGUGCUCCAAAAGUGGCUGCUAUGACUAUCAUCAAGAAUAUGCUUUAUGGCAGAUUCUCUUUGCUUUUUCUCCUUGCAAUCCGGAUUUACUCUUGGAAAAUGACUUCUAAGCUUUGCCCAAGAUUCCUCAUAGCUCUCCUCAGUCUUGACUUGCUUUGGUGAUCAAAAUACUAACAAAAACACCAAAACUUACACAAAGUGAUCAAAAUUGCUUUCAAGGGUCCUUAACAUGCCAAUUGAGUUAAAAGGCCAAAACUACUACUCAAAAGUGUUUAAAAGGAUUAAUUAUAGGCUAUCAAAUAGCACUUUUUGAGUAGUAAUCAUAGAACAGCUUAUAAAACUAUUCUUGGCAUGUCUCCCUAUCACCUAGUCUAUGGCAAAGCAUGCCAUCUCCCUGUGGAAGUUGAAUAUAAGGCUUGGUGGGCAAUCAAGAAGUUAAACAUGGACUUGAUCAGAGCCAGGGCAAAGAGGUGCUUAGACCUUAAUGAGAUAGAGGAAUUAAGAAAUGAUGCUUACAACAAUUCCAAAGUUGCAAAACAGAGGAUGAAGAGGUGGCAUGAUCAAUUAAUCUCCAACAAAGAAUUCCGAAAAGGACAAAGAGUCUUACUCUAUGAUUCAAGGCUCCAUAUCUUUCCUAGGAAGCUCAAGUCAAGGUGGAUAGGCCUUUUCAUUAUUCACCAAGUGCAUCCCAAUGGAGUGGUGGAAUUACUGAAUUCCAACAGCACUGACACUUUCAAGAUCAAUGGUCAUCGUCUCAAGCCAUUCAUUGAGCCAUUCAAGCAAGAAAAAGGAGGAAAUCAACCUCCUUGAGCCACAGAAAGCCUAAUCAGAAACAGGUUAAAUGGACUUGGUUUCACCAAAGUCCAUAUUUUUUGUUAAAUUUUGUUAAUUUAAAAGCUUUGUUAAUUCUUUUGAUUUUAAUUUUGGUCUUAAAUUGUGUUAUUUAUAUGUAACUUAAUCUUUUUGAAUGAUCUAAUUUAGAAGGAAUUGCAAAGAAAAUGAAGGAAGGUCUCUUGGAGCUAAAAGGAUUUCAAAAGCAAAGGAAAAUUCAUGGCCUGCGAGAUUUCGCAGCCCAAAGGAAGCCUCUGCGAAAAUGGCCCUUGGUUACGAAAUGAUUUCGCAGCCCCAAGAAGAGCGCUGCGAAAUGAGGUAUCCGUUGCGAAAACGCCCCUUGGCUGCGAAAUGAUUUCGUAGCCCCAAGCCCCCACUCUGCGAAAAUUUUCGCAGCUGCGAAACACGCCUUUGGCACACGAGUGCCAUUUCGCAGGCCCCCACUUUAUUUCGCAGCUGCGAAAUAGGCUGCGAAAUCCCCAAGCUUUAAAACUCCAAUUUUCGCAACCCCAAGGAAGCCGCUGCGAAAUCAGGCCUCCGCUGCGAAAUAGCCCCUUGGCUGUGAAAUGAUUUCGCAGCCUCAUAGCUCCCUCUGCGAAACCACCUAUUAGCACACGAGUGCCAUUUCGCAACCUCCUACCCUCAUUUCGCAGCUGCAAAAUGGCUGCGAAAUCCUCAAAGCCUUAAAAACUCCAUUUUCGCAGCCAAAGCCCAAUUUCGCAGGGUGUUUCGCAGCUGCGAAACACCCCUUUGGCACACAAGUGCCAUUUCGCAGCACACCCCCCUCAUUUCGCAGCUACGAAAUGGGUUGCGAAAAUGCCUUUUGUUGCGAAAUCGGCCCUCCGCUGCGAAAUCGGCCCUCCUCUGCGAAAAUUAAAACGACCCUUGGCAUCCAUUUUAGAACUUUAUAAAUUCCACCUUUCUUUUUAAAACUGGUCAUUUGAAUUGCAAAAAGGUGCCAAAGAGGAGCCAAGCCAAAGUGAUUACUACCAAAAAGUGCUAUUUUGUAGACCUAAUUAUAAUGGUUUUAAGCACCUUUGAGUAGUAAUCAUAUUCAUUUAACCCAAUUAAUUCAUUAAGGUCCUUAGUAAUUGGUUUUAACCUUUUUGUGGCAAAGUUGACAUGUUUUUUAUCAGCUUAUGAAUCGAUUCAAGCAUGCCAAUUGAUGGAGGAGCUACUUGGGCGAGUUAAGCAAGGAUUUUGUACGUUUAUAGGCUUGAAUUUCAAGUGGAAACACGAGCACAAGCAAUGGGGAAGAGGAAAACAGAGUGAAGAAAACAGAGUGAAGAAAACAGCUGCAGUCUUCUUUUGAACUUUUGGAGCACUUCACGAAGUCCAUUUUUUGCAUGCUAUAUACCAUUUGAAAGCUUAGGAAGUCAAGAAUCCAACGCUUCAAACCGUGUAUGAUUUUGAGCUGAAAUGAGGAAUAUAUGGCCUUUGGAAGGCAACUGCAUCAUGUCAAAUGACCAAUUUCGCAAUGUGAAUUUCACAUUGCGAAAAUUUCGCAAGGAGAUUUUCUUCAUGGUGCGAAAUUUUGCCACUUCGCACCAUGAAGAAACACAUUGCGAAAAUUUCGCAAGGAGGAUUUAGGCACAUUGCGAAAUUCCUUUGAAUCCCCUGUUUUGAGACGUUGUUGAUGUUAUUCCACUAUCGGUUCUCCAAGAUAUUUUGCUUGAUUUUUAGCUUUGUAAAUACCUAUUUUACCCUUGUAAUCAACCAAUGAAUAGGU
rnacentral:lncRNA from 1 species